GGUAGCACCGACAUUGGGUAGGACCGACAUUGCGUAGGACCGACAUUGGGUAGGACCGACAUUGGGUAGGACCGACAUUGCGUAGGACCGACAUUGGGUAGGACCGACAUUGCGUAGGACCGACAUUGGGUAGGACCGACGUUGCGUAGGACCGACGUUGGGUAGGACCGACGUUGGGUAGGACCGACGUUGCGUAGGACCGACGUUGGCCCUGAGGGCCACCCCUGCCCAGUCGUGCUCAAGGCUUCACAAGACCUGACCCUUCCCAGUGAAUGCUGACCAUACUGGGGGUGAGCAUUUGACUCCAACACAGCCAGUUCACAUGCUGGCAUGUCAGAGUCCAGUCCUCCUCAGAGGGUGGCCCAAUCUGCAUCCCCGGGCGCUGUCAGAGCCGCAGACUCCAGGCC